UACGGAGGGUGCAAGCGUUAUCCGGAUUCACUGGGUUUAAAGGGUGCGUGGGUAGGUCUGUAAGUCAGUGGUGAAAUCUCCGUGCUUAACAUGGAAACUGCCAUUGAUACUAUAGGUCUUGAAUUUUCUGGAGGUAAGCGGAAUAUGUCAUGUAGCGGUGAAAUGCUUAGAUAUGACAUAGAACACCAAUUGCGAAGGCAGCUUACUACGGGAACAUUGACACUGAGGCACGAAAGCGUGGGGAUCAAACAGG
rnacentral:misc_RNA from 1 species